rnacentral:rRNA from 1 species
GAUCCUGCCGGAUCCGACUGCUAUUUGGGUGAGAUUAAGCCAUGCAAGUCGCAUGGGAUACCUAAAGUUCCCAUGGCGCACUGCUCAGUAACACAUGAUCAACUUACCCUAUGGAGAAAAAUAACCUCGGGAAACUGAGGAUAAUAUUUCAUAGUUGAAAAGGCUUGGAAAAGUUUUUCAACGAAAUGGGUAAGAUAAAUGGAUCUUAUUUGCCAUAGGAUAGGAUUGUGGUCGAUUAUGGUAGUUGGUGAGGUAAUGGCUCACCAAGCCGAUAAUCGAUAGGGGCCGUGAGAGCGGGAGCCCCGAGAUGGGUACUGAGACAACGACCCAGGCCUUACGAGGCGCAGCAGGCGCGAAACCUCCGCAAUACACGAAAGUGUGACGGGGUUACCCAAAGUGUCCAAUUUUGGACUGUGGUAGGUGAGUAAUAUUCCCUGCCAGAAAGGAGAGGGCAAGGCUGGUGCCAGCCGCCGCGGUAAAACCAGCUCUCCAAGUGGUCGGGAUAAUUAUUGGGCUUAAAGAGUCCGUAGCCGGUUUAGAAAGUUCUUGGUAAAAUCGAGUAGCUUAACUAUUCGUAUGCUAGGAAAACUUCUAUACUAGAGGGCGGGAAAGGUCUGAGGUACUACAAGGGUAGGGGUGAAAUCUUAUGAUCCUUGCAGGACCACCAGUGGCGAAGGCGUCAGACUGGAACGCGCCUGACGGUGAGGGACGAAAGCUAGGGGAGCGAACCGGAUUAGAUACCCGGGUAGUCCUAGCCGUAAACGAUGCAUACUAGGUGAUGGUACGGCCAUGAGCCGUAUCAGUGCCGUAGGGAAACCGUUAAGUGUGCCGCCUGGGAAGUACGGUCGCAAGGCUGAAACUUAAAGGAAUUGGCGGAGGAGCACCACAAGGGGUGAAGCCUGCGGUUCAAUUGGAUUCAACGCCGGG